GUGGGGAAUUUUGGACAAUGGGGGAAACCCUGAUCCAGCCAUCCCGCGUGUGCGAUGAAGGCCUUCGGGUUGUAAAGCACUUUUGGCAGGGAAGAAAAGGCUCGGGCUAAUAACCUGGGCAAAUGACGGUACCUGCAGAAUAAGCACCGGCCAACUACGUGCCAGCAGCCGCGGUAAUACGUAGGGUGCAAGCGUUAAUCGGAAUUACUGGGCGUAAAGCGUGCGCAGGCGGUUCGGAAAGAAAGGUGUGAAAUCCCAGGGCUUAACCUUGGAACUGCACUUUUAACUACCGGGCUAGAGUACGUCAGAGGGGGGUAGAAUUCCACGUGUAGCAGUGAAAUGCGUAGAGAUGUGGAGGAAUACCAAUGGCGAAGGCAGCCCCCUGGGAUGAUACUGACGCUCAUGCACGAAAGCGUGGGGAGCAAACA
rnacentral:rRNA from 1 species